AACCCGAUAGUGUAAUGGCAACACAAGGGCUUUUGGUGCCCUAUUUAGAGGUUCGAGUCCUCUUCGGGUUG
rnacentral:tRNA from 1 species